rnacentral:ncRNA from 1 species
UAUCUGGUUGAUUCUGCCAGUAGUCAUAUGCUUGUCUCAAAGAUUAAGCCAUGCAUGUCUAAGUAUAAGCAAUUGUACGGUGAAACUGCGAAUGGCUCAUUAAAUCAGUUAUCGUUUAUUUGAUAGUACCUUACUACAUGGAUACCUGUGGUAAUUCUAGAGCUAAUACAUGCUGAAAACCUCGACUUCGGAAGGGGUGUAUUUAUUAGAUAAAAAACCAAUGCCCCUCGGGGCUCCUUGGUGAUUCAUAAUAACUUAACGAAUCGCAUGGCCUUGCGCCGGCGAUGGUUCAUUCAAAUUUCUGCCCUAUCAACUUUCGAUGGUAGGAUAGUGGCCUACCAUGGUGGCAACGGGUAACGGGGAAUUAGGGUUCGAUUCCGGAGAGGGAGCCUGAGAAACGGCUACCACAUCCAAGGAAGGCAGCAGGCGCGCAAAUUACCCAAUCCCGACACGGGGAGGUAGUGACAAUAAAUACUGAUACGGGGCUCUUUUGGGUCUCGUAAUUGGAAUGAGAACAAUUUAAAUCCCUUAACGAGGAACAAUUGGAGGGCAAGUCUGGUGCCAGCAGCCGCGGUAAUUCCAGCUCCAAUAGCGUAUAUUAAAGUUGUUGCAGUUAAAAAGCUCGUAGUUGAACCUUGGGUCUGGCUGGCCGGUCCGCCUCACCGCGAGUACUGGUCCGGCUGGACCUUUCCUUCUGGGGAGCCCCAUGGCCUUCACUGGCUGUGGGGGGAACCAGGACUUUUACUGUGAAAAAAUUAGAGUGUUCAAAGCAGGCCUUUGCUCGGAUACAUUAGCAUGGAAUAAUAGAAUAGGACGUGCGGUUCUAUUUUGUUGGUUUCUAGGACCGCCGUAAUGAUUAAUAGGGAUAGUCGGGGGCGUCAGUAUUCAGCUGUCAGAGGUGAAAUUCUUGGAUUUGCUGAAGACUAACUACUGCGAAAGCAUUCGCC